GCCCACGGCUGCCCUAGAGGGAUGAGUCUGAGGCUUAGAACUCUAGGUUUACAUCCCUACUGUCUGACAUCCUAACACUAACUCACAUCCAGGGAAGAGGAGGAGGAGGAGACUGAGGAAGAGGAAGAGGAAGACGCUCAUCAGUUCUGCUGUCCAGCCUCCGAGUGCAGCAGUCCCUCCUCUCGGUAACUGAGAGGACAAGGGCCAUUUUCUAUGCAGAAGCAAAAGCCUUAACCAGCCCCCAUCCCCCCUCCCCGCAUCCCCCAUGGCACCCCAUCCCUGCUUCAAGAACCAGAUGGGCAAGCAUAGUGCCCCUUCCCUCCCCCACCUCCUUCUUGGAAUUUCUACCCCCACUGCUGUCUCCCCUGGACUCCAGCCCCCCGAAUUAUAAAGGCUGGAGCCUUAGAUCUGACUAAAAUGUGGGAGCAGCAGAGCUUGGAGCUUGGAACCCGGACCCUCCCGCACCUGCACCCCACUUCCCAGGCACCCUGGAGCCUGCCACUCCUGGAGAGGUCUCCAAAUGACAUCCCAAGGACCUACCUCUGUCCUCUGUGAGCACAAACAGAGAUGCAGGGUGCCUAGGGCUCAGAGGACCAGACGGGGGCGGGCCCCGGACCUGCCGAGUUCCCCGUCGCUCUCCCUUGCUGUGGCCAUUGCUGCCAUCUCUUCCACUGCUUGAGGGCUUUGUUUCAUGCCCCCUGCCACUCCCAUAGUGCUCUGUAAAUAUGAUCAGGAAGAAAAGGCCUUUCAGAGUGGGUGUUGCUGUGUACAAAGGAAUUUCCAUCAAUAAAAGCUGAUCUCUUCUC